rnacentral:lncRNA from 1 species
UUUCUAUAAUUAUGCCCAAAUUGAAAACAAAAAUAAGAGAUUCAAUUAAGUUUGGUAGUUGCAAUCAAAGUAUGAAAACCACAACUUAUGAAUUUAUAGCUUGGGGCAAAAGUCUAAAAGUAGAUACAAUUUUAUGGACCUGAUUGCAAAUUGUCAAAAGGUUGAAACUGGAAGCGACUCAUUGAUUGGAAGAUAACGUGAUCAUAAUGUGCAUCUGUUACAUGGGGUUUAAGAUGUCAGAGUAUAUAAUCGUUUCUCUAAUCGAAAAACCCUCCAAAAAACCUUGAAAGAAUUAUGAGAAAUCGAUAAAGAACAAUGGCUAUGGGGGCAGGUCUGAGUUAGCGAAGAUCACGUUGGAAUUCACUGUGUUUUGAGGUAAAAUUUGAAACCAAACUUCGAUUAAUUGAUAUAUUAAAGUUUAUGUGUGUGAAUCUCGUUACAUAGUUCGUGUUCGAUUCAACCAAAAAAUCCAUGGAUUGAUACGUUUAGAGGGUAGUGAAUCCUUGGUUUUGAAUGAAGGAUUUAAUCUUCUGAUUUUGGGAUGAUUUCAUGGAACUGGAAGAGAGAAAUUUGGUUAAGGGAAGAGGUGUUUAAUAUAAUAUUUAUAUGUUUAUCUUACAUGAUCUGAAAGCCCAGAUCAUAGCUUCAAAAUUGGCGUAGUUGCAGAAAAAUCGGGUAUUGGGGGUGAGAUCCAUACCCGGUUUUAAGUCGGGUGUUGGACUAGAUCAGAUCCAGUUGCAGAAUGGGUUAAAGACUGCUUGGGGAUUGGAAAAAUGAAACCAAUUGAUGGUUACACUUUUAUUAGUGGCAUUUUUUUUUCAUCAAACAUAUUCAGAAUUUUAGGUUACAGGCUUACAGCCCCCCGGGGGAUUUUAGUAUUGCUAACUUGUUGCCAUUUUAGAAAAGGGAUAAUUACGAAAAAAAAAUCUUACAUAUAUUUUCAAAAAUUCGGUUUAAUCAUCAGGUUUUAAUAAAUUAUUGAAAACAUCAAUUUUUGGUAAAACAUNUAUAUAUACAUAUAUAUAUAUAUAUAUAUAUAUAUAUGGGAAAAGUGAAUAUAUCCUUAAGAGUAUAUAAGCUUAGGUACCCAAACUCAUAAUAAUACGUCGUUUUGUUUGAUAUAUUCAUUAUAAUAUUGUUAAACUUAAAUCCUUAACUUGAUUUAUAUUCAAUAUUUUUAAAUUUUCAUUAUUAUCUUCCUCUUACAUCACAUCUUUUUGUCGAACACUUACUAGGCUAUAUAUAUUAUUAUUGAAAAUGAUAAUUAUGUAAGAGGAAGAUAAAUAUAAUAUUUAUAAAAAUCUUUGAAGUAAUUUAAGUUAGAAGUUGAAUUAUAAGAACAUUGGACAAUUACAAUGUCUAUAUAUGAUACAAACGAUGUAGUAUUGUGAGUUUGGGUACCUAAGUUUAUAUACCCUUAAGGGUAUAUUCACUUUUCCCUAUAUAUAUAUANNNNNNNNNNNNNNNNNNNNNNNNNNNNNNNNNNNNNNNNNNNNNNNNNNNNNNNNNNNNNNNNNNNNNNNNNNNNNNNNNNNNNNAGAGAGAGAGAGAGAGAGAGAGCUAGGUUCAAAUGUUUCUAACAAUUAUUGUGUUCCUCAAUGCACCAACGAAAAUUUAAAAAAUAAUAAAUAAUUAAAUAAAUCAUUUAAGGGUAAUUUGGACAUUUUAUACUUUUAAUUAAGGGAUCAUUUAAUCGAAUUCCUGCAAUUAACAAAAUAAAAUAAAUAUAUUUGACAUAGUCUUUCUCUCUCUCUCUCUCUCUCUCUCUCUCUCUCUCUCUCUCUCUCUCUUUCUCUUAUAUUAUUCUUUUUCACCUACAGGUAGAUCGACAAAAGGACUCACGUCGCAUGCCUUCUUAUUCUCUCUGCCGGUUAUCAUUGUUAUCGAUCUAAGGAGGCUGAACAUGGAGGAUUUUCAACCAAAGAACGCUAGGGUUUAUCAAUCAUCGAUUUUCAGUUUGCAGCUGCAAUUAGGGUUUAUCAAUCAUCGAUUUUCACCAUCAUCAUCAUCGAUCUCCAUCUUUAGCCUCCUAUUACCAUUGCCAACCGCCUUAUCAUCAUAUUCAAACGUAAUUGAUGUUGGUGAUCUUUUUUAUUAGCGAUUCAAUGUAUAAGAAAACCUAACUGGGGAUGAAUACAAUCAUACACGCAUAAUUAGAGGUGGCAAAAAUUGACCCGACACGAAAUAAACGAGUUUGGGUACGAUAUUUCAACCCGUUUAAAUAAACGGGUUGACUCGACACGACACGAAAAUUAAAUGGGUAAGGUUAGGGUUGAGAAUUUCAACUCGAAUAUAACUCGAAAAUGACCCGUUUAUUUAUAUGCAAGUUUUUUGAAUUAUUUAAAUAAACUAGAAAGAUACAAAACCAAAAGCAUAAGUAAAAGAAAACCUUCGAAUUGAAUUGUUUUGUAAUGUUGAAAUAACUUAGUCGUCUAGAUCAAGAUUUCAUUUCAGUUUUUCCAUUCUCUCCCAGAUUACCCACUCUCUUUCACCACUCUCACAUCCUCAUGACCUUAUCAUCUGCCUCCCCAACUCCCACUCUUUUAAUUUUUUCAUCUAAACUUGCUAUGACUUCAUCUAUUCUGCCUCAAAACAAUUAGUUUUUCAUUUCCGCCUACCAAACUCCUACUCUUUCAACAUGCUCAAUCUUUUAACCUCACAUGACACGACAUAUUUCAAGGUAUAGCCCUAACCCGAAACCCGACACGAACUCGACACGAAAAUAAAUGGGUUGACACGACACGACACGUUAAUUAAAUGGGCCGGGUUAGGGUCAAUCACUUUCAACCCGUUUAGUGUUUCGACACGACACGAACCCGACCCAACACGACACGAUUGCCACCUCUACGCAUAAUAGGUAAUUAAUGAAUUUCAUUCAUAUUUUUUUUGCCCGUUACAUCUUUAUUAUUCAUCUUCCUACACCAGCAUCACCUUCAUCACCAUUUUCUGCCACUAUUCUAUUUUAUCUGGUAAACAUAUUCUUAAAACAUCAUACACUCAUCCUCUCUACUUCUAAUCAGAGAUAAUCAUAUUCUUAUAUCAUUUUUAGCGAAAUUUUGAUAUGUAAUUAGGUAAUGAUGUUCAAGGCAUCUUUAUUUUUAAUUUCAUUUGAUGUUGGUAUAUUUAGUACAAAGCGUGAUGGUUUGUGUUUAUCCUAAAGGUGUUUGACGAAAUGUCUAGUAGAAAAGAUGUAGGUGGAUUUCAUUUUUUGUCACAAUAUUUUUGGUUUAAAAAAGAUGUAAUGGCAUAGAAAUCUUGAUAUAAAUGGUUGGUUAAUAUUUUUUCUUAGGAAAUACAUUCAUUAUUCUUUUUUUAUUUCGUGAUGCAUCUUUAGUGGUAAUACAUAAAUGCAAUAUAAAAUAGCAAAUUCAAAAGGUUUUUAAAUGACACCAUGAAUACCUUAUGCUUGAAGAUCUUUUCAUGCUUAGAAUAUUUUGAUGUCUUUCUAACACCUUCCAGGUUAGUGAUAAUUUUUAUAUAACUAAAAUAGAGAAGAAGAUGAUUAAAACAUUGA